rnacentral:rRNA from 1 species
AGUCAAUGGCCUCCUGAACGUACGUUGCACUCUUGGGGUUUCCUGAGAGUAUGUCU